UACGUAGGGGCAAGCGUUGUCCGGAUUUAUUUGGGCGUAAAGAGCGUGUAGGCGGCUUUACAGGUCCGUUGUGAAAACUCGAGGCUCAACCUCGAGACGCCGGUGGAAACCGUAAAGCUAGAGUCCGGAAGAGGAGAGUGGAAUUCCUGGUGUAGCGGUGAAUGCGCAGAUAUCAGGAGGAACACCCGUGGCGAAAGCGGCUCUCUGGGACGGUACUGACGCUGAGACGCGAAAGCGUGGGGAGCAAACAGG
rnacentral:rRNA from 1 species